ACCAGCACAUCUCCAUACUGGCCAAUGAUGGGGAACAUCUAGACAGAAAAUAAGACGCACUCAAAAUAAAUGCCAAGAUAACUGUGGCAUUGCAAGAGGCUUUUGGUCCUGUAAGCUACUGGACCCACACUUGGCACGAACUCUGAGGCCCUUUUGCCCUUUGGUAUGAAAAGGCAUCAGGGCGGCUGGGAUGAAACGUGAGCAUUUACCUCUGCCACUGCAGGACAGGCAGUCAAGGCUGUGACGGUCUUGAGUGAGGAAGACCCAUCAAGACCCUUUGAGCUGCAUGUCCAUGUGACUGAAGAUGGCUAUGGCUGGGGCCUCUGGCAGGGGCUCACAGGCCAUUUGCCUUCAGCAUCCCCAGGGAAUGGUGAAGCAGACGACUUGGUCCAUGACAGAAGACAAUGUGGGCUAUAGCCCACUGGGAGACCUGCCCGACUUUUAGAGAAGUCAGCAGAGCCUUAGCAGAUGUGCGUUGUGACUGCAUCUCACAGCCACCUGGACACUACAUGGCCUUGGACAUUCUGACACAUGGACCAGUGAUGGCUGGCCAAUCUGACACCUUGGGGAGAAGGCUUGGAAACUGGUGUCCUGUGUGUUCCUGGAAUAACCACAGAGUGGUCCUCCCAAAUUCUGGUAGUGUACCCAAAAUGGUAAGAGUAUCUUACCAGGGAGUUUUGUCUUAUCACUGUGGCCAGUGCAUGUGGCUCCCGUAGCCCUUCAUAUCAACCCAUGAGUAACUCCCACAGGAGAGGGGUGAAGGUCUGGUAUGCUAAAGCAGGAUGGGACCCCAUUCCUGCCACUGUCUUAUCACAGGACCACUCUCUUACAUGCAUCCUACCUGAUGGACAAGAUUUGUCUCUGUUGAUGCCAUUAAAACAUGUGUCUUAUCACCCUUACGGUAAUUCUCUUCUUCAGUCAUAGUUGACUGGGCAUGCCCUCCAGCAACAGCUGCUGCCUGCUUCGCAUGCCUGGAGACCCCUGCCGGUUCAGCUGCUGGCCUCCCGUGGACAUGUAAGUUACGGACUCAGCCUGAGUAGGACUUUGAAUGCAGCUGGCUCCACAGGCUUGAGGAUUGUCAUGGUUUUACUGUUAUCUGUAUCAUCAUUUCUGCUCUUAUUUGUACAUGGUUAAUCUGUUUACAGUGCCAUAGCUUUCUUUGCACUGGGCCAUUGUGGAAGUUGGAGGCACAUAAAUUGUGAGUUCAGCAGGAAGAAGUGAGCCCAGGAAGCCCUAGGUUCCCCUCCCCAGAUCCCAAUAAAGAGAGGGCCCUGGCCGAGGCCUCCCUCUGCCUGAUCUCUGUGUGGCCCCAGGUGUGCUGUGUCAUCUCCAGGUCUGGUGAGGAAGAAACCUCUCUUUUGCCGGCUUUCUCCAUGGUUGCUGCUGAAGGGCAUCCACAAUCAUAGUAAGAACCAAAAGUUCGAUCCAGUGGUAACAUUGGGUGGAAAGGGGAGAUGUAGUGGGAAGCCCCCCAGGCCCAGGCAAGCCCCGCAGGUGUUUCUGGAUGGAAGACUUACUGUCCACAGACUGAGACCAGCACGAACCAGGGAUACCGUGGACCCUUCUUUCUUCCUCAAACUCUCUGAAACAGAGCAGGUGGGCCCCCUUUAUGGGGGAGCCUCUCAGACUUCCCGUUAACACAUCUAAGAGAAUCCCAUGCCCCACAGAGGUGUGUUGACAAGCAGGUGGGGGUUACAAAA